GGACGGGUGAGUAAUGUCUGGGAAACGUGCCCGGUGGAGGGGGAUAACUACUGGAAACGGUAGCUAAUACCGCAUAACGUCGCAAGACCAAAGAGGGGGACCUUCGGGCCUCUUGCCAUCGGAUGUGCCCAGAUGGGAUUAGCUAGUAGGUGGGGUAACGGCUCACCUAGGCGACGAUCCCUAGCUGGUCUGAGAGGAUGACCAGCCACACUGGAACUGAGACACGGUCCAG
rnacentral:rRNA from 1 species